rnacentral:rRNA from 1 species
UAUUGCACAAUGGGGGACACCCUGAUGCAGCGACUCCGCGUGAGUGAAGAAGUACCUCGGUAUGUAAAGCUCUAUCAGCAGGGAAGAAAAUGACGGUACCUGAUUAAGAAGCCCCGGCGCACUACGUGCCAGCAGCCGCGGCAAUACGUAGGGGGCAAGCGUUAUCCGGAUUUACUGGGUGUAAAGGGAGCGUAGACGGCAGCACAAGUCUGGAGUGAAAUGCCGGGGCUUAACCCCGGAACUGCUUUGGAAACUGGGCAGCUAGAGUGCAGGAGAGGUAAGUGGAAUUCCUAGUGUAGCGGUGAAAUGCGUAGAUAUUAGGAGGAACACCAGUGGCGAAGGCGGCUUACUGGACUGUAACUGACGUUGAGGCUCGAAAGCGUGGGGAGCAAACAGG